UCCAAGGCAGAUGGAACAUUCUGAUGGGGAGGCUCACUGCUGACUGAUUAUUUGAUGCUUUCGAUCUUUUAUAUUGAAUUUGAGAUUACAAGCCUCCUUUUCCAUUCAGCCCUGCCCUGCAGCUUUCCUGACAUUUUGUUAUCUUUGCGUAAGCCUUUCAGGAAGGGCCUCUGAACCGUCCUCCUGUGCUGGCUGCCAGGGAAAUAGGAUUACUGCCUUAUUCUUCAACAUGGAGCAACCAUGCUUCAUUGAAGAAUCCUAUCUUGGAUAUCAAGUUGCAUUUAUGGGAGGAUUUUGGCUUCUACUCUGAGAGAAAUGGAGACAGAGACAGAGACUCAGGGGAUGUGUAUGCCUUGCUGAUGGUCACAGAGCCUCAAAAUGCAGAGGUGGGACCCUGUACCAAGUCUUCAAGCUCCUGAGCCCAUGAUCUUUCCGCCCCACUGUGUGCCACCACCUGGAAAGGAAGGCCAAGAAGAAUAAUACAGCAGCCACAGGUGACUACUCCAGUUCCCGUUGGUUCUCUGCAAUUCAGAGGGGCCCUAAGAAAAAUGUAGUUCCUGCCUGGAAUGAUAAUCAGAACCACCUUUAUUUUUCAUGCCUGCUCUUGCCCAAACACUGUUUGAUGCAAUCUCAAGAUAUUACCUUGCUUCAGCCUCACAACAGCCCAUUUCACUCAUUCAUUCAUUCACUCAUUCAUUCAUUUGUUCAUUCAGCACACUUUCCCUGAGCAGCUACUUUGGGCAAAGUUCUGGAAACACGGGGUGAUGAACUAAACACAGCUUGGAGCUGCUUUGUGGCUGACAGACCCACAUAAGCAACCUAACAAAGAAAACGAUCGCCAGUUGUGUUCUGGAGGCCAGACGUCCACAAUCAAGGUGUUGGCUGAGCCACGCUCCGUCCGAAGAAUGAAGAGUUUCUCUCCUGCUUCACAGAAUCACCAAGAAGGCAGAAGGAAAUAAAGAAUGUGGGACACACAGAUCCUGCGCGGCAACUAUUAGAAUGGAAACAUUCUUGCCAGCCUAACACGGAUGCUGGGAAGGCCAUAGGAGGUCCCUUCUGUAAAGUAUCUCACAGACGUUUCAUUAUUGAUCUGCCUUAUUAUGCUUUCAAGAAGAGACAGGCGAAGAAAAUUGACUUUUUGCCUCCAAAACAAGUCCACAACCCUUAAGGCUUCAAAUCACCUUGCUCCCAAAGGCCUGGUUUGUGUGGAUCUAUAAAGGCUACAAACCUUGAACUCCUGAAAAACAUACUUGUCCAGGUAGGACACUGACAUCACAUAAAAAUCAGGUCCUUGAGCCCAGAUACAUUCUGUUCCUGAUGUAAGAGGAUCGGCUAUUGUCUGGAUUGUAGUGACCUUCUCUCCACAGUCCAGGAAGUGGAGAACCCUUAGCAUCCGUGGGGGCUCCAUUCUGGUGGAUUCACCUACCAGGCUCACCUGCCUCACAAAAGUUCUUUGUUCUUCUAAGGAGGCAGGGAGCUUAUGCAAUCACUCAGACUAGCUGUACACGCAAGGUUAUAAUUGGACGAUCUGAUCGCCUCUGUUCUUUCCAGGGAUGAAAAAGGCAGAAACCCAGACUCCUUAGUUAGAGUAUUUUGACCCAGGAGUGAUUCAGACUAGAGCUCGUUGGAAUAUAUAAUACUACUGAAUGAGCACAGCCUCCUCAACCUAACCAACAGGAUCAGCAGGAAAGAACUAGGUAAAAUAAAGACUCUUUUUAGAAGUCUGGAAGCCUUAGUGAGAGUAAGGCCCUGAGGCCUCUGGCUAGGAAGUAAAGCAGGUUUUCAAAGAGAAAUGAAGCUCCAGGUCAUACAUCCCGAUCUGCUCCUAAAGUCACCGGGCUUUGUCCAUUUCAGUGCAGAGAUAACCAGGAGAUAGAAAGGAAAAGAAAAGAAAAGAAAAGAAAAGAAAAGAAAAGAAAAGAAAAGAAAAGAAAAGAAAAGAAAAGAAAAAAGGUGGCCACAGAAAGUAUGAUCCAUAGGGAGGGGAGUGGUGCAGUGGAAAUUUUCUUUGGGGAUGUUCUUGCUGAGAUAUUCACUGUGUGACUCAGAUAAGUCACUCUCCCUCUCUGAGCCUUGCUAUCAUUCACAAACGAAGUAGGUAGACGAGACGGUCAUUUCAAGCUCUAACCUACUCUGACUUUGCAUUUGUCAUGCAGGAGCGCCCAAGCUGUCUUAUUUUUAUGCACCUGUAAUGAAGGAUUAACGCUUCCAAUUUUACCUCUUGUUUAAAAAAAUAAAUUAAGACCCCAAGACUAAGUCGGGGGUUACAAACUCACUAUCUCCAGAGGCUGGGCAGAUAAAAAAUAAAACAGGGCUCAACAAGAGGCCACUUAAAAAUCCAAAUGGCUGCUUGCUCUUGAAAAACAUCAACAGAUACUGUAAUGUUGGGUCAGCAAUCCAAUACGGCAAUGAUUAGAUGGGCGUGUGGGGGCACACCUUUGGAUGGCCCAUGGGUCCUCUAGACUAUCAGUGUCCCCACCAAGGGGUCACAUAGCACCAUGUCUAUGGUUUUAAAAUUCCUACGUUAAUGAAGAAAAUUAAUGAUUGCUUUUACCUAUGUCUCCAUCAUAAACCGAUCUCUCUCAAACAAGUAUGUUACUUGCGUGGACCUGAAAAUAUCUGAGUUUCGGCCCUUAACUUACGUGAUCUCCGUCUAUCUGUACAAUGAGAAGACGGACCAGGUGGACUGUUCGGUUUCCUCUGGCUUUAACCCUCCAAGGGUCUGUGGCCCAAUCAACCAGGAUCUCUCAGUUAACAGAGCAUAGCCAACCACCUUCUCCAGCCAAGAAUCCAAACAGAGCACAGAAUUUACAUGAACUCACUAUGAACUUGUAGAAUAUAUGGCCACCAAUUAGAGCAUGAGCUGUGGUUGGUGAUGAGUGAUUCACAUACUGUCCACAAAACAGAGUAGUGCUGGCGUUCUAAGUUCAUUUAAAAACAAACAAACAGGGGUGCCUGGGUGGAUCAGUCGGUUGAUCAUCCACCUUCAGCUCAGGUCAUGAUCUUGCGGUUGGUGAGCUCGAGUC